AUGGAGGUUCCCAGGCUAGAGGUCCAAUUGGAGCUGUAGCCACUGGCCUACACCAGAGCCACAGCAACGCGGGAUCCGAGUCGCGUCUGCAACCUACACCACAGCUCACGGCAACGCCGGAUCGUUAACCCACUGAGCAAGGGCAGGGACCGAACCCGCAACCUCAUGGCUCCUAGUUGGAUUCGUUAACCACUGCGCCACGACGGGAACUCCCACUUGGAUUUUUAAUAGCCAUCUCAAAAGCAACUCAGCUAAAUGAUUUUUCUCCCCUAAAUCUGCCCAUCAGCUGGUAGGAACUACCUUAGUUGAUGGCAACUUCUUCCCCCUGAUGGCUCAAGACAAAAGCACAAGAGUCAUCCUUGAAUUCUGUCUCUCUUAUCUUAUCUAAAUCAUCAAGACAUCUUCUCACCCCUCCUUUGAAAACUCACACAGAAUCUGACUGCAAUCACUUAUCACCCCCAUGGCUACAGGUCAGAGUUGACAUUAUCUCAUCUGGAUUACAACAGCACGCUGUCUGCUUCUGCCCUCUGUUCUCAGCCCAGAAGCCCGAAUGGUCCUUUCAAAACCUGGGUGUGGUCACGCUCCUUCUCUGCUCAAGAUCCUCUAAUAGCUCCCCCUUUCUUUCAUGGUCAAAGCCAAAGUUCUUCCAAAGGCCUACAAAGUGGUCUACACCUCCACCUCCCUUAUCUCUUUGACUUCCUAUUUCUCUUCCUCUUGCUCACUAGACUCUAGCUAGCCACACUGAUGCCAAUGUUUCUUUGACACCCCAAGCGUGCUUCCAUCUCAGGGAUGUGCCACUUGCAGCUCUCUGCCUAGAACACUCUUCCUCGAAAUAUCCACAAAGGCGAUUCUCUCACUUCCUUCAAGUCUUUGCGAAAAUAUCUUCUAAAGGAAUUCUAUCCUGAUCACCCUAUUCCUGCUUCCAACCCCGGGCCUUUCAGUUCCCCUAGCUCUGCUCUAUCUUUGGUUUAUUCCAUUGCACACAGUCCCCUCUAUAGAACUCUGCAGUGCAUCACUUUAUUAUGCAUAAAGUUUAUCUUUUUGCCCCAGAUAGCAUGUAAACACAAGGGUCUCUUUCCUUACCAAUUUAUCUUAUGUGCACAGAACCGAACCUGGAAUAUUUGGUAGUUGCUUAAGAAAUAUUUGUUGAAUUUAAAUGAAUUCAUUUAAGUGAUAGGUGUUAUGAAGAUCAUGUAAGAUCAGACUGUAAGGAGUCUUAGAACAGGGCUCAAAGUGUUAGCUGUCAUCAUCGCCAUCAGAGCUGCCAUCUAGAAACGGUGUCCAAACUUUCGCCUGUCAUUUUGUAGCAUAAAGUAAGAAUCAGGAUAUUGAUUAUGUACAAAAGGAAAGCCUUUAGAUUUGGGUGGGUGAAGACUAGUUUACAGAGAUUCUCUUAAUGGUCCUAUUCCCCUGACCCAUCCAGGAGGUGGGAUGUUGUCACCAUUCUUUUGACAGAGAAAGGGACCCAGGACUAAGAGCCAUCUGGAGCAGACUGGAUUCAGUCAUGUACUGAUAAAUAUUUUAAAAUGAGCUCUCCAGGCAACAACAAUUAGGACAACACCCUGAUUUGUAGCACUUGCCCAUUUCCUUGGUGUAAAUAUUCCCACCAUGGCUGAUUUCAAGCUUCCAACAUGCUGUCUCUGAUGAGGGUAAUGCACAUCAUAACAUCAUUAUGUAGUAGUUCUACCAUAAAACAAUCGUAAGUAACCUCAAGAGCAUAAAUAAUAAAAUGCAAUAAAGUGAUGGUUUUUGAGGCAUUAUUAUGUUUAAAAAUAAUUUAUGUAAUCAUAAGUUUAAAUAAUUUGCUCUUCAAUCAUGGUUGUAUUGAACAACUGCAAUGUACCAGAAAGGACAUCAGAAAGGACAUCUGACCCAAGCAGGGUCAAUCAGAGUCUCUUCCCCAGAGACAGGGAAUCAGAGCUAAGAGAGCUGCUCAAACAGAACUUGGGGACUGUGGAUAGCCAUGCUUUUGUCUCUUAUCAGGACAGGAUGGCAGGAAAAGGUAAUCUGUUGAGAGAAUAAAGAUCUGCGAAAGAACCAGGGAUAAGAGAACAAGAGAAAAUUCUUUCUGGGGAGCUGGUCACCUCCCAAUUCCUGGAUCCAGCUGUUCCUGAUAUUGGCCCUUGGGUUCCAUGCAAGG
ensembl:lncRNA